rnacentral:rRNA from 1 species
AGAGUGAACGCUGGCGGUAGGCCUAACACAUGCAAGUCGAACGGCAGCACAGUGGUAGCAAUACCAUGGGUGGCGAGUGGCGGACGGGUGAGGAAUACAUCGGAAUCUACCUUUUCGUGGGGGAUAACGUAGGGAAACUUACGCUAAUACCGCAUACGCCCUUCGGGGGAAAGCCGGGGAUCGCAAGACCUGGCGCGGAUAGAUGAGCCGAUGUCGGAUUAGCUAGUUGGUGAGGUAAUGGCUCACCAAGGCGACGAUCCGUAGCUGGUCUGAGAGGAUGAUCAGCCACACGUGGAACUGAGACACGGUCCAGACCUUCCGA